rnacentral:rRNA from 1 species
GAUGAACGCUGGCGGCGUGCCUAAUACAUGCAAGUCGAGCGAACGGACGAGAAGCUUGCUUCUCUGAUGUUAGCGGCGGACGGGUGAGUAACACGUGGAUAACCUACCUAUAAGACUGGGAUAACUUCGGGAAACCGGAGCUAAUACCGGAGGAUAUUUUGAACCGCAUGGUUCAAAAGUGAAAGACGGUCUUUGUGUCUCUUAUCGAUGGAUCCGCGCUGCAUUAGCUAGUUGGUAAGGUAACGGCUUACCACGGCAACGAUGCAUAGCCGACCUGAGAGGGUGAUCGGCCACACUGGAACUGAGACACGGUCCAGACUCCUACGGGAGGCAGCAGUAGGGAAUCUUCCGCAGUGGGCGAAAGCCUGACGGAGCAACGCCGCGUGAGUGAUGAAGGUCUUCGGAUCGUAAAACUCUGUUAUUAGGGAAGAACAUAUGUGUAAGUAACUGUGCACAUCUUGACGGUACCUAAUCAGAAAGCCACGGCUAACUACGUG